AUCCUCCGCUCGUACUCGCUGUCGGCAUGGGCUGCUCCCGAAGACCCGUACUCCUGCAAACUGAAGCACAGAUCAGCAUCAAUAAGGAACCUGAGGCAUGGAGAAGUUUAUUUGCCUACACUCAAAACUACUAAGUGGCAAGCUAGAACUUAAAACUCAGACCUGACUUCAGAUGAUGUAAUUUUUCGGAUGGGGACAGAACCCAGACCUCUGCAGACUCUAGGCUCUUCUCAGAAACAGGAAUCAUUCUCUACCUAGAGUUUAUGCAGGUGUGGCUCAAUGAGAUCAAACGUAUCCACAGCGCUACAGCAGCCCUGAGUG